rnacentral:rRNA from 2 species
UGGCCAUCCGAGUUGUAAUCUAGAGAAGUGUUACCCGCGUCGGACCGUGUACAAGUCUCCUGGAAUGGAGCGUCAUAGAGGGUGAGAAUCCCGUCUUUGACACGGACGCCCGAUGCUUUGUGGUGCUCUCAACGAGUCGAGUUGUUUGGGAAUGCAGCUCAAAAUGGGUGGUAAAUUCCAUCUAAAGCUAAAUAUUGGCGAGAGACCGAUAGCGAACAAGUACCGUGAGGGAAAGAUGAAAAGAACUUUGGAAAGAGAGUUAAACAGUACGUGAAAUUGCUGAAAGGGAAACGCUUGAAGUCAGUCGCGUUGGCCGGAAAUCAGCCUUCCUUUUGGUUGGUGUACUUUCUGGUUGACGGGCCAGCAUCAGUUUUGACCGGUGGAAAAAGUUGUAGGGAAUGUGGCAUCUUCGGGUGUGUUAUAGCCCUGCUUCGUAUACAUCGGUUGGGACUGAGGAACUCAGCACGCCGCAAGGCCGGGGUUCGCCCACGUUCGUGCUUAGGAUGCUGGCAUAAUGGCUUUAAUCGACCCGUCUUGAAACACGGACCAAGGAGUCUAACAUGCCUGCGAGUGUUUGGGUGGAAAACCCGAGCGCGUAAUGAAAGUGAAAGUCGAGAUCCUUGUCAUGGGGAGCAUCGACGCCCGGACCAGACGUUUUCUGACGGUUCUGCGGUAGAGCAUGUAUGUUGGGACCCGAAAGAUGGUGAACUAUGCCUGAAUAGGGUGAAGCCAGAGGAAACUCUGGUGGAGGCUCGUAGC